rnacentral:rRNA from 1 species
UACGUAGGGCGCAAGCGUUGUCCGGAAUUAUUGGGCGUAAAGAGCUCGUAGGCGGUUUGUCGCGUCUGCUGUGAAAACCUAAGGCUCAACCUUGGGCUUGCAGUGGGUACGGGCAGACUAGAAUUCGGUAGGGGAGUCUGGAAUUCCUGGUGUAGCGGUGAAAUGCGCAGAUAUCAGGAGGAACACCGAUGGCGAAGGCAGGUCUCUGGGCCGAUACUGACGCUGAGGAGCGAAAGCGUGGGGAGCGAACAGG